GCCGGGCAUGGUGGCGCGCGCCUGUAGUCCCAGCUACUUGGGAGGCUGAGGUAGGAGAAUCGCUUGAAUCCGGGAGGUGGAAGUGGCAGUGAGCCGAGAUCGCGCCACUGCACUCCAGCCUGGGUGACACAGUGAGACUCCACCUCAA
rnacentral:SRP_RNA from 1 species